UACAGAGGUGGCAAGCGUUGUUCGGAAUUACUGGGCGUAAAGGGCGCGUAGGCGGCCUUCUAAGUCAGACGUGAAGUCCCCUGGCUUAACCUGGGAACUGCGUCUGAUACUGGGAGGCUAGAGUGCGGGAGAGGGAUGCGGAAUUCCAGGUGUAGCGGUGAAAUGCGUAGAUAUCUGGAGGAACACCGGUGGCGAAGGCGGCCCCCUGGACCGGUACUGACGCUGAGGCGCGAAAGCGUGGGGAGCGAUCCGG
rnacentral:rRNA from 1 species